rnacentral:rRNA from 1 species
UGCCAGCAGCCGCGGUAAUACGGAGGGUGCAAGCGUUAUCCGGAAUUACUGGGUUUAAAGGGUGCGUAGGCGGGUCUAUAAGUCAGAGGUGAAAGCUUUCAGCUUAACUGAAAAAUUGCCUUUGAUACUGUAGAUCUUGAAUUAUGUUGAGGUUAGCGGAAUGUGACAUGUAGCGGUGAAAUGCAUAGAUAUGUCAUAGAACACCAAUUGCGAAGGCAGCUAGCUAGGCAUAUAUUGACGCUGAGGCACGAAAGCAUGGGGAGCGAACAGGAUUAGAUA